rnacentral:rRNA from 1 species
ACGGGGGGGGCAAGCGUUGUUCGGAAUUACUGGGCGUAAAGGGCUCGUAGGCGGCCAACUAAGUCAGACGUGAAAUCCCUCGGCUUAACCGGGGAACUGCGUCUGAUACUGGAUGGCUUGAGGUUGGGAGAGGGAUGCGGAAUUCCAGGUGUAGCGGUGAAAUGCGUAGAUAUCUGGAGGAACACCGGUGGCGAAGGCGGCAUCCUGGACCAAUUCUGACGCUGAGGAGCGAAAGCCAGGGGAGCAAACGGGAUUAGAUACCCCGGUAGUCCUGGCCCUAAACGAUGAAUGCUUGGUGUGGCGGGUAUCGAUCCCUGCCGUGCCGAAGCUAACGCAUUAAGCAUUCCGCCUGGGGAGUACGGUCGCAAGGCUG